rnacentral:lncRNA from 1 species
AUAUACAUCUCACAACUCCUAGAAAUUCAGACAUCUCAAUGAUUUCUUCCUCUUCUUUAUAUUCAUCUACCAAAUUGGUCUCUGCUUCGUAGACUUCUUCUCCAUAAUUCUCUAGGGUCUCAGGAUCUUCUUCUUCUACUUCUCCUAUGUGUAAUGCUCUAGUGGGGCAUUGGCUUGCAUAAUGUCCCAUUUUACGACACCUAAAACAAGGAACAUUGUUUUCCCUUCUACCUUCAGGGGCCUUUCCUUUGUCGUCCCUACGAGCCUGUGGAGUGAUAGGAUUGGGUCUGUGUGAUGGGUUUG